UCGGGGGUUGUGCAAUCGGUAGCGCCCUGGACUCUGACUCCAGAAAUCCAGGUUCGAGCCCUGGCCCCCGAGCCA
rnacentral:tRNA from 1 species